ensembl:lncRNA GBA1LP glucosylceramidase beta 1 like, pseudogene
AACCUAGUGCCUAUAGCUAUGGCAGGUACCUGCAUCCUUGUUUUUGUUUAGUGGAUCCUCUAUCCUUCAGAGACUCUGGAACCCCUGUGCUCUUCUCCUCAUCUAGUGACCCUGAGGUGAUGGAGUUUUCAAGUCCUUCCAGAGAGGUGCCUUCAGCCGCUACAAGAGCAGAAGCAGUGGGCAUUGGAUGGAGCUGAGUACAGGACCAUACAGGCUAAUUGCACCGGCACAGGAAUCGGAUAUAACAUCAUCUGGGUACCCAUGGCCAGCUGUGACUUCUCCAUCCGCACCUACACCUAUGCAGACACCCCUGAUGAUUUCCAGUUGCACAACUUCAGCCUCCCAGAGGAAGAUACCAAGCUCAAGAUACCCCUGAUUCACCGAGCCCUGCAGUUGGCCCAGCGUCCCGUUUCACUCCUUGCCAGCCCCUGGACAUCACCCACUCGGCUCAAGACCAGGGGAGCGGGGAAUGGGAAGGGGCCACUCAAGGGACAGCCCAGAGACAUCUACCACCAGACCUGGGCCAGAUACAUUGUGAAGUUCCUGGAUGCCUAUGCUGAGCACAAGUUACAGUUCUGGGCAGUGACAGCUGAAAAUGAGCCUUCUGCUGGGCUGUUGAGUGGAUACCCCUUCCAGUGCCUGGGCUUCACCCCUGAACAUCAGCGAGACUUCAUUGCCCGUGACCUAGGUCCUACCCUUGCCAACGGUACUCACCACAAUGUCCGCCUACUCAUGCUGGAUGACCAACGCUUGCUGCUGCCCCACUGGGCAAAGGUGGUACUGACAGACCCAGAAGCAGCUAAGUAUGUUCAUGGUAUUGCUGUACAUUGGUACCUGGACUUUCUGGCUCCAGCCAAAGCCACCCUAAGGGAGACACACCACCUGUUCCCCAACACCAUGCUCUUUGCCUCAGAGGCCUGUGUGGGUUCCAAGUUCUGGGAGCAGAGUGUGCGGCUAGGCUCCUGGGAUCGAGGGAUGCAGUACAGCCACAGCAUCAUCACACAAGUUCAUUCCUGAGGGCUCCCAGAGAGUGGGGCUGGUUGCCAGUCAGAAGAACGACCCGGACGCAGUGGCACUGAUGCAUCCCGAUGGCUCUGCUGUUGUGGUCGUGCUAAACCGCUCCUCUAAGGAUGUGCCUCUUACCAUCAAGGAUCCUGCUGUGGGCUUCCUGGAGACAAUCUCACCUGGCUACUCCAUUCACACCUACCUGUGGCGUCGCCAGUGAUGGAGCAGAUACUCAAGGAGGCACUGGGCUCAGCCUGGGCAUUAAAGGGACAGAGUCAGCUCACACGCUGUCUGUGACUAAAGAGGGCACAGCAGGGCCAGUGUGAGCUUACAGCGACGUAAGCCCAGGGGCAAUGGUUUGGGUGACUCACUUUCCCCUCUAGGUGGUGCCAGGGGCUGGAGGCCCCUAGAAAAAGAUCAGUAAGCCCCAGUGUCCCCCCAGCCCCCAUGCUUAUGUGAACAUGCGCUGUGUGCUGCUUGCUUUGGAAACUGGGCCUGGGUCCAGGCCUAGGGUGAGCUCACUGUCCGUACAAACACAAGAUCAGGGCUGAGGGUAAGGAAAAGAAGAGACUAGGAAAGCUGGGCCCAAAACUGGAGACUGUUUGUCUUUCCUGGAGAUGCAGAACUGGGCCCGUGGAGCAGCAGUGUCAGCAUCAGGGCGGAAGCCUUAAAGCAGCAGCGGGUGUGCCCAGGCACCCAGAUGAUUCCUAUGGCACCAGCCAGGAAAAAUGGCAGCUCUUAAAGGAGAAAAUGUUUGAGCCCA